rnacentral:rRNA from 1 species
UAGGGAAUCUUCCGCAAUGGACGAAAGUCUGACGGAGCAACGCCGCGUGAGUGAAGAAGGAUUUCGGUUCGUAACACUCUGUUGUUAGGGAAGAAAAAAUGUAUAGUAACUAUAUACAAAAGAGAAGGUACCUAACCAGAAUGCAACGGCUAACUACGAGCCAGCAGCCGCGGUAAUACGCAGGGGGCAAGCGUUGUCCGGAAUUAUUGGGCGUAAAGCGCGCGCAGGUGGUUUCGUAAGUCUGAUGUGAAAGCCCACGGCUCAACCGUGGAGGGUCAUUGGAGACUAAUAAACUUGAGUGCAGGAGAGAAAAGUGGAAUUCCUAGUGUAGCGGUGAAAUGCGUAGAGAUUAGGAGGAACACCGGUGGCGAAAGCGGCUUUUUGGCCUGCAACUGACACUGAGGCGCGAAAGCGUGGGGAGCAAACAGG